GGGGAUGUAGCUCAGCUGGUAGAGUGCUUGCCUCGCACGCACAAGGCCCUGGAUUCAAUCCCCAGCACCACCA
rfam:Ictidomys tridecemlineatus contig020276, whole genome shotgun sequence.